rnacentral:rRNA from 1 species
GACGAACGCUGGCGGCGCGCCUAAUACAUGCAAGUAGAACGCACAGUUUAUACCGUAGCUUGCUACACCAUAGACUGUGAGUUGCGAACGGGUGAGUAACGCGUAGGUAACCUGCCUGGUAGCGGGGGAUAACUAUUGGAAACGAUAGCUAAUACCGCAUAAUAUUAAUUAUUGCAUGAUAAUUAAUUGAAAGGUGCAAUUGCACCACUACCAGAUGGACCUGCGUUGUAUUAGCUAGUAGGUGAGGUAACGGCUCACCUAGGCGACGAUACAUAGCCGACCUGAGAGGGUGAUCGGCCACACUGGGACUGAGACACGGCCCAGACUCCUACGGGAGGCAGCAGUAGGGAAUCUUCGGCAAUGGACGAAAGUCUGACCGAGCAACGCCGCGUGAGUGAAGAAGGUUUUCGGAUCGUAAAGCUCUGUUGUAAGAGAAGAACGGGUGUGAGAGUGGAAAGUUCACACUGUGACGGUAUCUUACCAGAAAGAGACGGCUAACUACGUG